AACAAGUUAGUGAGGUUAAAGAGGGGAAGAACAAGUCAGUGAGGUUAAAGAGGGGAAGAACAAGUCAGUGAGAUUAAACAGGGGAAGAACAAGUCAGUGAGAUUAAAGAGGGAAAGAACAAGUCAGUGAGGUUAAAGAGGGGAAGAACAAGUCAGUGAGGUUAAACAGGGGAAGAACAAGUCAGUGAGGUUAAAGAGGAAAAGAACAAGUCAGUGAGGUUAAAGAGGGAAAGAACAAGUCAGUAGAACAAGUCAGUGAGGUUAAAGAGGGAAAGAACAAGUCAGUGAGGUUAAAGAGGAAAAUAACAAGUCAGUGAGAUUAAAGAGGGAAAGAACAAGUCAGUAGAACAAGUCAGUGAGGUUAAAGAGGGAAAUAACAAGUCAGUAGAACAAGUCAGUGAGGUUAAAGAGGGAAAGAACAAGUCAGUGAGGUUAAAGAGGAAAAUAACAAUUUAGUGAGGUUAAAGAGGGAAAGAACAAGUCAGUGAGAUUAAAGAGGGAAAGAACAAGUCAGUGAGGUUAAAGAGGAAAAUAACAAGUUAGUGAGGUUAAAGAGGGAAAGAACAAGUCAGUGAGGUUAAAGAGGAAAAUAACAAUUUAGUGAGGUUAAAGAGGGAAAGAACAAGUCAGUGAGAUUAAAGAGGGAAAGAACAAGUCAGUGAGGUUAAAGAGGAAAAUAACAAGUUAGUGAGGUUAAAGAGGGAAAGAACAAGUCAGUGAGGUUAAAGAGGAAAAUAACAAUUUAGUGAGGUUAAAGAGGGAAAGAACAAGUCAGUGAGAUUAAAGAGGAAAAGAACAAGUCAGUGAGGUUAAAGAGGGAACGAACAAGUCAGUGAGGUUAAAGAGGGAAAGAACAAGUCAGUGAGGUUAAGGAGGGAAUGAACAAGUUAGUGAGAUUAAAGAGGGAAAGAACAAGUCAGUGAGAUUAAAGAGGGAAAGAACAAGUCAGUGAGAUUAAAGAGGGAAAGAACAAGUUAGUGAGAUUAAAGAGGGAAAGAACAAGUCAGUGAGGUUAAGGAGGGAAUGAACAAGUUAGUGAGAUUAAAGAGGGAAAGAACAAGUUAGUGAGAUUAAAGAGGGAAAGAACAAGUUAGUGAGAUUAAAGAGGGAAAGAACAAGUCAGUGAGGUUAAAGAGGGAAUGAACAAGUUAGUGAGGUUAAGGAGGGAAUGAACAAGUUAGUGAGGUUAAAGAGGGAACGAACAAGUCAGUGAGGUUAAAGAGGGAAAGAACAAGUCAGUGAGGUUAAAGAGGGAAUGAACAAGUUAGUGAGGUUAAGGAGGGAAUGAACAAGUUAGUGAGGUUAAAAAGGGAAAGAACAAGUCAGUGAGAUUAAAGAGGGAAAGAACAAGUCAGUGAGGUUAAAAAGGGAAAGAACAAGUCAGUGAGAUUAAAGAGGGAAAGAACAAGUUAGUGAGGUUAAAGAGGGAAAGAACAAGUCAGUGAGAUUAAAGAGGGAAAGAACAAGUCAGUGAGGUUAAAAAGGGAAAGAACAAGUCAGUGAGAUUAAAGAGGGAAAGAACAAGUCAGUGAGGUUAAAGAGGGAAAGAACAAGUCAGUGAGGUUAAAGAGGGAAUGAACAAGUUAGUGAGGUUAAGGAGGGAAUGAACAAGUUAGUGAGGUUAAAAAGGGAAAGAACAAGUCAGUGAGAUUAAAGAGGGAAAGAACAAGUCAGUGAGGUUAAAAAGGGAAAGAACAAGUCAGUGAGAUUAAAGAGGGAAAGAACAAGUCAGUGAGGUUAAAGAGGGAAUGAACAAGUUAGUGAGGUUAAGGAGGGAAUGAACAAGUUAGUGAGGUUAAAGAGGGAACGAACAAGUCAGUGAGGUUAAAGAGGGAAAGAACAAGUCAGUGAGGUUAAAGAGGGAAUGAACAAGUUAGUGAGGUUAAGGAGGGAAUGAACAAGUUAGUGAGGUUAAAAAGGGAAAGAACAAGUCAGUGAGAUUAAAGAGGGAAAGAACAAGUCAGUGAGGUUAAAAAGGGAAAGAACAAGUCAGUGAGAUUAAAGAGGGAAAGAACAAGUCAGUGAGGUUAAAAAGGGAAAGAACAAGUCAGUGAGAUUAAAGAGGGAAAGAACAAGUCAGUGAGGUUAAAGAGGGAAAGAACAAGUCAGUGACGUUAAAGAGGGAACGAACACGUCAGUGAGGUUAAAGAGGGGAAGAACAAGUCAGUAGAACAAGUCAGUGAGGUUAAAGAGGGAAAGAACAAGUCAGUAGAACAAGUCAGUGAGGUUAAAGAGGGAAAGAACAAGUCAGUGAGGUUAAAGAGGGAAAGAACAAGUCAGUAGAACAAGUCAGUGAGGUUAAAGAGGGAACGAACAAGUCAGUGAGAUUAAAGAGGGGAAGAACAAGUUAGUGAGGUUAAAGAGGGGAAGAACACGUCAGUGAGGUUAAAGAGGGGAAGAACAAGUCAGUAGAACAAGUCAGUGAGGUUAAAGAGGGAACGAACAAGUCAGUAGAACAAGUCAGUGAGGUUAAAGAGGGAAAGAACAAGUCAGUGAGGUUAAAGAGGAAAAGAAAGAGAAAGAAGGAGAUGAGAGUCUAGAUGGAGAACAGUAAUAACAAUUUUAUUAAGGUCAGUAGCCACAAAAUCAGCUAAACAAUCUGCAUAUAAAAUGGGCCUCUCUUCAGUUGGUGAUCAAGCUGUCUCGCAUCUCCUGCUGCUCUUCCUCUCCUGCUCCUCCUGCACUACAAAUGAGCCAGGGAGCCCGGGACGGCAUACUAUACAGGAGAACCCCAUGGGAGAAACCUCCUCCUUAACCCCCACGUCCACGAACCUCAUAUAUAAAACGGUACACAGCCCCCCUAACCCUGCAGCAACGCUCCACUAUACUAAACCCACUGGAGAGGCCUGGAUACCGUAAUGAAUAAUAAUAACAACAUGGCCGAACGUGAGCUGGAGCGGCGACAAUUGAGUUGUAACACGAGGAUAUGGACUCUAGCUUCAUGCAUACAUUUGCGGGUGAAACGUAUUGGAAAGUAGUUGUAUUCUGCUGCAAUGCCUCAGGAAAGACCAAAACCCCAGUGACCCCACUAUAUUAGCGGGCUAGUGCCUUGGGGUAUACAGUGUUACAAGAUGAAUCAUGAAUAUGAUUAGAUGACAUCAGAGUUCUAAGCGAGUUGUAAAGAAGUGAUCUAAGCAUAGUUGUCAUGGUGCUGAAUAAUGCACUCAUGGCGGUCGUCAUGGUGCUAGUCAUCCCUGUUUACGCAGUGCCUGUGUGU